AUUUAGAUUAUCUCAACGCGUUGACAGGACGCUUUGGGAUUCACUUCAUGGCGACUGGAAAUUUUUGUAUGCAAGGGAGAAAAGUAUAGUCAUAUAUGCAGAAUUAAUGCUCUUGGAAUUUUUGUACAUAUCUUUCUAUUCAUAAUUUGUGCCUUCCUACACAUAUGCUUUAAUGGUGAUUGGGGAAGCUGGAAAAGUGAUGGUGCCACAAAGGGACGCAGAGACUUUCAUAAGUAUAUUUGGUCACUUAGAUGGGAGGGUAGACCUCUGCAAGGGUGAAAACUUAGCAAAAGACAUAGCCGCUCCCAUUUCUGAAGAAACAAGCGUGAAAUCGGGAGUCCGACUCUUAUGGACCUUUGCAUUAUGGCUUCCAAGUUAGCAUAUGAGAAUGACCAAGUCAUUAGAAAAGUUGUGGUAGACAAUUGGAAGGCAAUUUAUAUCUGUGGGAAAACUCUACUGUAAUGAUCUUCUGCCCCGGUUGCCUUAUGAUUACGAAAACUUCAUGUUUAAGCAUUUCGAGGUGUGCCUUCACUACGACAGUUGUUACAUCGAACAUAGAUUGGAGGAUGAGCCAAGCAACAAUUACUUUGGAAUGAGAUACCUAAUACCAAUAUCUGAACGCUGUUUGGGAGCUCAUAAGAAGCUUAGCAAUGGGCUAUAAUAUUGUAAAAAAUGUAUCAAUAACAUGUUGAUACAUUUUGCUACCGACAUGUUAAUUACUAAUGUUAUCAAUGGCUUAUCAACAUCAUAUUGACAGUCCGUCUUUUAGUAAAAAACGAACGUCCUAUCCAGAGAAAAAUUGAUUAAACUAGAAUCUCUUCUUGCCUAAAAUAUCACCUCAAAAAGCCAUUCAUAUUCCAAUUCAUCGUCAAGUUCAGUCUUUGGCACAGUCGCAACAAUCUUCUUUUGAAUAACUACAAAAAUUCGAUGUGUAUAUUACUCUUAUACAAAGAACAAACCAUAUGUAAUAAUACAGCAGAUGCAGUAAACAGAAAA